rnacentral:miRNA from 1 species
GUAGCCCCGAGUGCAGUAAGGGCUGAAUCUGUCUUGCACGUCCUGUCCUGGUGUAGUGGGAAUUGCAGUGGACUUGGAGGCAGACAGCCCC